rnacentral:rRNA from 1 species
GACGAAGGGGGCUAGCGUUGUUCGGAAUUACUGGGCGUAAAGCGCGUGUAGGCGAUUGCCAAAGUCGGGUGUGAAAGCCUUGAGCUCAACUCAAGAAUUGCAUUCGAUACUUGGUGACUAGAGGACCGGAGAGGAUAGUGGAAUUCCCAGUGUAGUGGUGAAAUACGUAGAGAUUGGGAAGAACACCAGUGGCGAAGGCGGCUAUCUGGACGGUUUCUGACGCUAAGACGCGAAAGCGUGGGGAGCAAACAGG